rnacentral:ncRNA from 2 species
UAUAAUUGAAUAAUAUUCAUAUCGUAUAUGCUAGGAAAUAUGGUCCUAGCGUUUCUACCAGGAAGCCAUUAACUACCUGACUACGAAUGUACUGGUUUUAUAA